rnacentral:lncRNA from 1 species
CCCCUACUUUUUUUUUUUUUUUUUUUUUUACAUAAAGUCAGUUUGGUUUUUUUUUUGCUUAAGAAAAUUUUUCCUCAAAAUAGGUAAAUUUUUUUGAAUGACGUCAUUGUUUGUAUGUGACGUCACGAACGUCGAAGUUUCAUAUUGUAUGUGACGUCACGAACGUCAAGUUUUCAUAUUUUUUGGCACACUAAAUGCAACUAUGAAAAAUACAAAACACACAAAUUAAUACAAUAAUAACAAAUAUUUUUAAAACAACAGCACGCAAAUUGUAAGGUAACCCAGGUGCUUCGGAUAAGUAAUUGAGCAGUUCUUUUAAGGCCUUUGAAACAAGACAAAAGUAGAACUGAAGGUAACCCAGUGCUAUGGAUCACAAAACAGUUCAUAUAAUAUAAUACUCUUCUGUUAAAAUAUAUGAUAAAGUGUAUAAUACAUGGCAAAUCCGUAUCACAUGCCGUAUCACCCUCGACCAAUAUCAUCCCUCGGGCCUAAAGGCCCUUGGGCUGAUAUUGAUGUCUCGGGAUGAUACGACAUAUGAUACGGAUUUUGCCAUGUAUUAUUCUCUUUAUA